GAUUAGCCUUUGCUUAUGCAAAGAGGAAUCUACAAAGGUAUAAUUUCUCAACUAACAAAUGUUGUUUUGAGUUGAGUCUUGGUUCACCCAACUACAGGCUUUGAAUUUCAUGGUUAAUGUUUUGUUUUUGAGUGCAUGCAAGAAUGAUUCCGCCUUUUAAUUGUUAAUUGCAUGUUAUAGAUGUUGCUCAAAUGAACAUGUUUUCACAAAAUAAUCCUUCAAGUGGUAUCAGAGCCUAAGUCUAGUAGUUGGUGAAUCAUUUUGGGUUUUGUAGUUCAUAGUCUUUGAUUUAAAUGUUGUAAUAUGUUACAAGCUUUAUUCUUGUUUCUUUGAAUGUAAAUUUUGUUGGAAAAUUUGCCAUCUCAAAUGUUGUAGAUGUAGUUCAUAUGAGCAUGAAUAUUGGAGCUAAAAUUUGGUGCCAUGUUUUUGGGAAAAUUCGGCCAAAUCCAAAGGGUGGAUUUUUGGGUUCAUGUUUGACUUGUUAAAAGUGUUUUCAAGUGACUUUUGGAACCCCUAUGUACCCUAGUUUGGUUAUAUGUUAUUUCCCUUAAGUUUGAAUGGUUUUGGGAUGUUUUUGGGUGAAAAAUGUUCAUGGAAAUUUUUUAAGUUUUUCAUGAAUGUUCUUCAUUGUUCUUGACAUUUUUCCCAAGAACAAAAAGUUUGGUGUUUUGAUUCAAAGUUUCAUUAUGAAUGCAAAUAUAUUGCCAUAUAGAAGCUUACAAACAAUGUUGUUUGGAUGGGAAAGUUCAUUCAUGAACUCUCUAUUCGGUUCCAACCAGAAAGUGUCUCUAGUGUACCGACACUACGACACUAAUAGGGCGAUAGCUCAAUCCAGGGAAUCAAGGUCUCAUCAAGAUCCGAACUCAAAUGAGAGACUGAACCACAUGAUUAAGAAUCAUGUAUAAUGGUGACGUCGUUAUUCUCAAGGUUGCUUCUAUGGAUAACAUAUAGAUAUCCAUUGUCUAGGCCUACUACUCAGCCAUUUAUGAAAUGACUACAGAAGAGGUAUCAUCACUGAUGACCAAGCUGAUUCGCUCUAGUGCAAGUGGGAGAUUGUUGGAAAUGUGCCCUAAAACCAAUCAUAUGAUGAUACUUUACGGACAUUUCACAUGUUAAACUAAUCUAGUUUAAUAUCAAGGGCAAAGAUUGUUGUUUGAGCCGUCUCAUAUAAAUGUUAUACGCUUAAACGAUAAGUCCAAGGAAUAUGUGAUUAGGAGAAUGCGAUCUAAAGAAGUUAGAUUCAUGAGACCAUUCUUUCGUAGACACAUCCAAAACGUUCAUGAUCAUAGGAUUGCCAAUUGGGCAUUGACAGUCCGUUAAGAUCAGUACGUGUUGUGUCUUCUCUCAGGGAGAGUGACUAGUCUCGAGUCAUUGGUGUGUGUGACAUCAAGAAAAGUACGUAGGUGCUCAAUAGAGAAUGAGUUCCCUGAACACGAUCAACGAAGAGUUCUCAUACUCAUGUCACAUGAGAACUCAUGGUUGGGAUAAUGCAAAGUAGUCCUUUGACCUGAGGCAUCAUAGUUGUCUUGUGGUUAGGUCCUUGAUCUUUGAUUAUGUCAAAGUCACCCCAUCCGCGGGUGUCCACGGCAUCGUCGGGGUUAAGCCACUUAGCCAUGGAGGCAAGUGAAUGCACAACAAGGUAUCUCUAACCUUCAAACCGUUUGGAGGAGAAUACUCUAUGAUAUGAUUAAGAAUCUCUGGCCAGAGUAUGAAUGAGAUUGAGGAAGUCGUUCCAAAUCACAUUCAAGGUAAUCAUAUAAGCACACAAAUAACAUUGGAUAUUAGACAUGAAUAAACUAUCAAACCAAACAAUGUGGUCAAGAGUAUUGUAUUAGAGAAAGACCGUAUUGCAUUUGUAAUCCUAAACUGAAUAGGUUAUCCACCUCUUCUGAUUAGCUUGGGUAACCAUGAUAUGCUGCUAGGUGUCACUCAUGGUUUGUGGAAGCCCUAAACGUGUAUAAUCACUAAAGGGAGAAUUGAAAGUAAGUUUCAAUUCACAAUGGAUUUGAAAUGGUUUUAAUCGCCCACUGCCUCGCUAAAAGGAACCUAAUGGAUCAUACACCGUGUAAGGUGGAGAUUGAAGAAACAUUGGAGAUCAGUAAGAAUAAUUAAAUGGUUUAAUUAUUUAUGGCAAGGAUUAAUUAAUAUGUUAAUUAAUCAAACGAAUAAGUUCGUUAAAGACCUCGGGAUAGUUUUGGACCUUAAGGCCCAAUGGGCUUCAAAAGUCAAGCCCAUUGACUAAAGUUGUAUGACAACUUAAUGAAUAAUGAUUCACAAAGGCCCAAUUGGCCCAAUAAUACCCUAAGGCCGGCCAUUUAGAGAUGGAGUGAGUUUUGGACUUAUUUACAAGUUUGCCACUCCAAUGAAUUAAGGUAUAAAUAUGACUUUAUAGCCAAAAUUCAUUUAGGGUUUUCUUUUGGGGAAAGGAUGAGAACAUAAGCUCUCCUUUCUCUCUAAAAUGGCCGGCCUCCUUGGAGGGUUUAGCUAGCAAUCCUACUACUCCAAGGUCACUCAUUUCUUCUCCAAUCUAACCUUGGUGAAGAGACUUAGAGGUUCUCAAUUUUGGGAACUUGGAGAACCAUUUCAUCCAUCCAAAUCCAUAGAUCUAAGAUGCAAGGAAUGAAGGCCCUCUCUUUGGGUGAUUAGCCUUUGCUUAUGCAAAGAGGAAUCUACAAAGGUAUAAUUUCUCAACUAACAAAUGUUGUUUUGAGUUGAGUCUUGGUUCACCCAACUACUAGGCUUUGAAUUUCAUGGUUAAUGUUUUGUUUUUGAGUGCAUGCAAGCAUGAUUCCGCCUUUUAAUUGUUAAUUGCUUGCUAUAGAUGUUGCUCAAAUAAACAUGUUUUUCACAAAAUAAUCCUUCAAAGCUUUUGUAGGUGAAACUUUUGUGGGUGAAGCUUUUAUGGGUGAAGCUUUUGUGGGUCAAGAUUUUGUGGGUCAAGCUUUUGUGGGUGAAGCUUUUGUGGGUCAAGAUUUUGUGGGUCAAGCUUUUGUGGGUGAAGCUUUUGUGGUUGAAGCUUUUGUAGGUCAAACUUUUGUGGGUCAAGCUUUUGUGGGUCAAGCUUUUGUGGUGAAGCUUUGGAGUUGAAGCUUUGUAGGUGAAGCUUUGGAGUUGAAGCUUUUGUUGGGUACCAUGAAUUGAUUUUGCUUCACACUAUCUUGAUCAAGAUAGUGUGAAGCUUUUGAGAAUUUGUAGUUGUCCUCCAUUGAUGAAGCUUUUGUUGGUGAAGCUUUGUUGGUGAAGCUUUGGAGUUGAAGCUUUUUUUUGGGUACCAUGAAUUGAUUUUGCUUCACACUAUCUUUAUCAAGAUAGUGUGAAGCUUUUGAGAAUUUGUAGUUGUCCUCCAUUGAUGAAGCUUUUGUUGGUGAAGCUUUGGAGUUGAAGCUUUGGAGUUGAAGCUUUGUAGGUGAAGCUUUGGAGUUGAAGCUUUUGUUGGUACCAUGAAUUGAUUUUGCUUCACACUAUCUUGAUUAAGAUAGUGUGAAGCUUUUGAGAAUUUGUAGUUGUCCUCCAUUGAUGAAGCUUUUGUUGGUGAAGCUUUGG
rnacentral:lncRNA from 1 species